rnacentral:rRNA from 1 species
AGUGAACGCUGGCGGCGUGCUUAACACAUGCAAGUCGAACGAGAACGGAUUAUAGCUUGCUAUAAUUGUCAGCUAAGUGGCGCACGGGUGAGUAAUAUAUAGGUAACGUGCCCUAGAGAGGGGGAUAACAGUUGGAAACGAUUGCUAACACCCCAUAUGCCUUUAUCCCAUAAGGGAGCAAGGGAAAUAUUUAUAGCUCUAGGAUCGGCCUGUACAGUAUCAGUUAGUUGGUGAGGUAAUGGCUCACCAAGACAAUGACGCUUAACUGGUUUGAGAGGAUGAUCAGUCACACUGGAACUGAGACACGGUCCAGACUCCUACGGGAGGCAGCAGUGGGGAAUAUUGCACAAUGGACGAAAGUCUGAUGCAGCAACGCCGCGUGGAGGAAGACGGCCCUAUGGGUUGUAAACUGCUUUUGUACGGGAAGAAACACCCCCUCGUGAGGGGGCUUGACGGUACCGUAAGAAUAAGGAUCGGCUAACUCCGUGCCAG